UUUGACUCAGGUGUUAGAAGAUAGUCCAGUCGUUGUUUGUUUUCUGUUGUUUUUUGCAAGCGAAAGGGAAGUUUGGACAUGAAAGUGCUCAGCGGGUAGAAAAAGCACUAGAAUCUGUUCUCCCAGCGUGCGGCAUCAUGAAGCCGUUACUGCGCUUCAGCGUCCCUCUGUGGACUCUUCUGGUCUUCAGCGCCUUCCUCAAGAGCUCCCAAGCACAAAAUAUCUCAAAUUGUGCAACAGAAACAUUAAAUAUAACAACCACCACAACAACAGCAAAUGUCAACUUUCAACUUGACCCAAAC